AUAGUGCUAAGAUCGCUUUAACUCCUCCUAUACAUUGGUUUACAGUAAUCAUUGGCUAAGAUCGCUUUAACUCCUAUACUUAAACAUUGGUUUACGAUAAUCAUAGUGCUAAGAUCGCUUUAACUCCUAUACUUAAACAUUGGUUUACAGUAAUCGUAGUGCUAAGAUCGCUUUAACUCCUAUACUUAAACAUUGGUUUACAGUAAUAAUCAUAGUGCUAAGAUCGCUUUAACUCCUAUACUUAAACAUUGGUUUACGAUAAUCAUAGUGCUAAGAUCGCUUUAACUCCUAUGUUAACCACUGGGCCAGGUUCCUAACCUUUAUGAGUAGCAUAACUUCGCAUAAUAAAUUGCUUUAUUAUAUGCAAGAAUAGCACUUUAAUAUUAAAACUUUGGAGUGUGAAAAGUUCGUUCCAAUAUACAUUUAUGUCACAAGAACAUCAGUAACUUAACAAUUACAUUUAAUCUGAGGAACUUGUCAUUCAUGGAAGUACCUUGUUUUGAUCCAAGGUCUUCCAAUAAUCAUGUUCGAGCCCAUGUAUGCCAAGGUAAAUUUGUUCAGGAACCUUCAAUACAUUGUUUGCCCAUUAGCAAUGUUGAAUUUCUAACAAAGUGUUGUAAUGAAAACAGGCAAAUGAUGAAUAUUGCAAAA